rnacentral:rRNA from 1 species
GACGAACGCUGGCGGCGUACUUAACACAUGCAAGUCGAACGGAAAGGCCCUGCUUGCAGGGUACUCGAGUGGCGAACGGGUGAGUAACACGUGGGUGAUCUGCCCUUCACUUCGGGAUAAGCCUGGGAAACUGGGUCUAAUACCGGAUAGGAGCCAUUUUUAGUGUGAUGGUUGGAAAGUUUUUUCGGUGUAGGAUGAGCUCGCGGCCUAUCAGCUUGUUGGUGGGGUAAUGGCCUACCAAGGCGGCGACGGGUAGCCGGCCUGAGAGGGUGGACGGCCACAUUGGGACUGAGAGACGGCCCAGACGCCGACGGGAGGAAGCAGUGGGGAAGAUUGCACAAUGGGCGCAAGCCGGAUGCAGCGACGCCGCGUGGGGGAUGACGGCCUUAGGGUUGUUAACUCCUUUCGCUAGGGACGAAGCUUUUUGUGACGGUACCUAGAGAAGAAGCACCGGCUAACUACGUG